AACAAGAGAAGUGAGAAAAUAGUUUUAGUUUUAGUUAAUAGGUAUAUUUAUUAGUUAAUUAUAUUUUGUUAGGUGAAAUUUUAAAAUAUAGAAUGGAUAAUAUAAUUUAUAUAAAGCUAGGAAAAUCAGAUUUUAAACUAGGAUUAGAUACCCUACUAUUCUGGAAGUUAAUUUGUUGCUAGAGUAGUAAUAGAUAUGUUCUUGAAACUCAAAGAAUUUGGCGGUGUUUUAGUCUUAUCAGAGGAACUUGCCCCGUAAUCGAUAAUCCUCGUUUUACUUUACUUAAUUAGGUUAACAGCUUGUAUACCGCCGUCAUCAGGAUAUUUCCUAAGAAUAUGUUCAAGGUCUUAAAUUAAAAUAUAUGUCAGGUCAAGGUGUAGCUUAUGAUUAAGUGGAGGUGAGUUACAAUAUGGAAACAUAAACGGAGUAGAUUUUGAAAAUGAUUUAGGAAGGUGGAUUUGGUAGUAAUAUAUUUUAGAAAGAAUAUAUGAUGGUAGCUCUAAAACAUGCACACAUCGCCCGUCGCUCUCAUUUAUUAAGGUGAG
rnacentral:rRNA from 1 species